rnacentral:lncRNA from 1 species
GGGGGAUCUUCCCUGACCAUUUCCGCUGGAAGUCUAACUAGCCUGACUCUGGUGAGGAGAUGAAAACUUGAAAGGUAACCAUUAGUCCUGAGAGGAGGGAGAAAUGUUCCUUUCCCUCUGCACUUACAUCCUCGGCGUGUAAGGAUCCAUAGCAGUGUGUGGCAAGCCUGGAGUGGACGUUUGUAUUUGGAAGUAGGUUGAGAGCAACCAGGGUAAGGAGCUCUGAGCAAAGCCCCUUUGUCCCAAGAUAGCUGCAGAUUAGAGGCUGGAGAGAGACAGGAGAGCAUUCAGAGGCUUGACUUCUCCCUGUUCCCAAGAUCACAGGAUGGAUUUUUUUCAAAACAUUGGCUAAGAGAUAC